rnacentral:rRNA from 1 species
UGAGUAACACGUAGGUGACCUACCCCAAAGAGGGGGAUAACGGCCCGAAAGGGCUGCUAAUACCCCAUGUGAUUAGCGAUUCAUUUCGUUAAUUAAAGCUUCCGCAAGGAGUGUGCUUUGGGAGGGGCCUGCGGCGGAUUAGAUUGUUGGUGGGGUAAUGGCCUACCAAGUCGAUGAUCCGUAGCUAGUCUGAGAGGACGAUUAGCCACACUGGCACUGACACACGGGCCAG